AACGAACGCUGGCGGCAGGCUUAACACAUGCAAGUCGAACGCCCCGCAAGGGGAGUGGCAGACGGGUGAGUAACGCGUGGGAACGUGCCCUUCGCUUCAGGAUAGCCUCGGGAAACUGGGAGUAAUACUGAAUACGCCGUAUUGGGAAAGAUUUAUCGGCGAAGGAUCGGCCCGCGUUAGAUUAGGUAGUUGGCGGUGUAAUGGACCACCAAGCCUACGAUCUAUAGCUGGUCUGAGAGGAUGAUCAGCCACACUGGGACUGAGACACGGCCCAGACUCCUACGGGAGGCAGCAGUGGGGAAUCUUGGACAAUGGGCGAAAGCCUGAUCCAGCCAUGCCGCGUGAGUGAAGAAGGCCUUAGGGUUGUAAAACUCUUUCGCCGGAGAAGAUAAUGACGGUAUCCGGAGAAGAAGCCCCGGCUAACUUCGUGCCAGCAGCCGCGGUAAUACGAAGGGGGCUAGCGUUGUUCGGAAUUACUGGGCGUAAAGCGCACGUAGGCGGGUUUGUAAGUAGGGGGUGAAAUCCCAGGGCUCAACCCUGGAACUGCCUUCUAAACUGCAAGCCUGGAGGUCAGGAGAGGCGAGUGGAAUACCGAGUGUAGAGGUGAAAUUCGUAGAUAUUCGGUGGAACACCAGUGGCGAAGGCGACUCGCUGGACUGAUACUGACGC
rnacentral:rRNA from 1 species